UCAAAUCUACUUUUUUGGGGGAAAGUUGGGCAGUUGAGACUGCUUAAUCACAACCAGUGUGAGUUUAGAGGGUGCAUGUUCACUUUUGUAGAAGUUCAAAAUGUACUGACGAUUGUUUGCUUAUUUUUUGUUUGUUUGUUUAAAUCUUGAUGGAAUACGUCGUCUGCAUUUUUACGAUUUUGUUUUCUUCUGUUGAACCCAUUACAGUGGAUAUAGAGUUUUAUUAUAUAGCGAAAUCUUUGUAAACUGCCACAGAAAGAAAGUGUUAUUUAGAAGGGAAACUGACAAGUUUUAAAGAGUAAUUGUACAAUCAUUUGAGGACAGAGGAACACUGCAUUAUACUAAUAAGGGUUUAAUUACCAAAAAAAGUUUAAUGUUGCUUUGGAAGGAAUAUUAAGUAAGUUGUCUUUGUCUCUUACUUUUUAAUUUUAGUCGCUGAUUUAGCCUGUUGGGUCACAUUUUUUGUUAGUGCUGAAGGCUGCCAUGAAUCCGUAAUGAGGCCCCUUUGCACAUGAUUUUGGCACUUGGCCAAAAUCAACUUCCCAGCGGCAAGCUUUCUCUAAAGAACCUGGAGCAAUUUCUUUCUUUUUUUUUUUUUUUUAAUCAGGAAUCAUGUCUGAAAGCUGCCACAACCAGUUGUAUAGGCAUGUCAAAAUGACUUUAUACAGUCAAUAUGAAACAAGCAUUAAAUAUUUUUUCUCGUGUUGUUGCUUUUAUCAUUAUGAAUUCCUUGCUUGUUACCACCUAAGAUACGAUGGAGCAAGCACAAUCUUAAAGAAGAUUUGCUGAUUUUUUGUUUUUCUCAGCAGACCAGAGAUAUCCAUAAAAAUUCAUCAGAGAGCGUUUUACUACUGAGCUGCAAAGGGAAAAACUUAAAAUGGAUAUGAAAAGUGAAGAAGGUGAUCAUAGGAGAAAACCAUUUCAGGUGUCUGAUGAUUUGUGAGCCUCAAGUGACUACUCUCUGGAAUCAUCUGUCCUUGCCUUUGAAUUAGCUUUCCCUAGGCCAUGAGUCAACAUUAGUAGUUUACACAUCCAAAUUGAUGACAGGAGCACCUCAAAGGCAGCAGCCUCAAGGAGCAGCCAUGGCCCCAGAGUUUUCCCACAGAUGCAGAAAACUUAAUGGAGGAGGCUGAGGUCAGAAUGGGAAGAGUUUUUAAAAAGUAAAAAGGGGAGCUAAUAUGUGAGGAACUGAUUGCUGUGCAUUAUUUUCCACUGAACAGACCUUCUUUUAACUUCUAAUCUCAAGCACAUAGCAGCUGUUGUUUUCAUAUUAAAGAUCAGUAAGUGUUUGUUGAACGAAUGUAUAAAUUCUUUCCCAAUCUCUGUUCCAUGUAAUAAAAACUAAGUUAGCAUUCAAUUAUAAAGAGGACUUAGAAAGACUGCAGGCAUUUUUGAUAAAAAAAAAAUCCUUUUAACUGUCUUCUCAUGGUUCCCGGUGACACCUAAGCCCAAAAAACUGAGGUCAUUUCUUGCCUGUACUGUUGCAAUAGCCUCAUAAUAACUAGUCUUCUCCUUUAUAAACCACAGUCGUCUCCACUACACAAAGAAGAGAGGGUGCUAAUCUAAAGUGUAAAUUAUUUUAAAUCAGCACCCUUGUAAUUUCCCAGUGGUUUUUCCUGUCAUAAGAAUAACAUGCAAAAUUCCUUGCUUGCAAAGCCAGGUAUGACCUUGCCCCUGUCUACCUUACUGGCGUCGUCUCUCAUGACUCUCCCCCUUUUUCACUCUCCAUCUUGCCUUUUCCCAACCAUGCCUGCUAGUGAGCCUCAGCCCUUGUGUUCUCUCUGCCAGGGAUGCACGACUGGCUUCUUUACUUUAUUCUGAUCUCUCUGCUCAAGUGUCAUCUUUUUAGAGAUACCUUUCCUAAACAUCUUUAAAAGUACCCCAUUAACUGUGGAACACCUUUCCUGCUUUUUCUUCAUAGUACUUAUCACUUCCUGAUAUUAUGUUAGACAACAAGCAAAUAAGUAUAUGCAUAUAUGCUGUUCCUACUAAAAUAUAAGCUCCAUUUGAACAGGAGCCUUGAUUAUUCCUGACUAUACCCCUAGUGCCCAGAACCUAGUAGGGCUUUAAUAAAUAUUAGAUUCAUUUUUUGAAUGAAAAAAUGAAUGAAUAAUUGAAUAAAGAUAUCCAGGUAGAAUGUCUGGGCAGCCCAACCUAUGUGAAGCCAGUACAAGAAUGUUUCUGUGACAUAAUGAAUGCAAUUAUUCCUCUAAAUGAUGAACUUGAAUGAGUACAUGAGGAUAAAAUUAAGCAUGUAGUUUAGAUUUCUGCAAGUCUCUCCCUCAGAUUGAGGAAAAACAAAGAAAUUGAGCUUAUUCUCACCUCAUUCUUACACGAACUAAAUCCAGAAUAAAGCAUCAUUUAUAUACCAAGCACAUCCCUACCUCAGCCACUCACGGAAUACUUUACUUUAUCUGUAAAGGGACAGAUAGUAAAUAUUUUUGGCUUUGGGGACCGUACAGUCUGGGUCGCCACUACUCGGCACUUCUGCUGAGGUGUGGAAUCAGCCCUAGACAACACAUAAACAAAUGGGUGUGGCUGUGUUCCAAUAAAAUGUUAUUUAUAAAACUAGGAAAUCAGCAGAUUUAGCCCACAGGCUGUAGUUUGCUGACCCCUUGAAUUAGAGAGUCUUCCCCAAAUCCUCUUCCCAAGUUAUUGAAAGAAUGCCCACAGGACCAUGGCUCCCUCACCUGGUUCUUUCAAGAAAUGAGACAAAUUCAGGGAUGGUUGGAGGGUGGAACGCCUACCUGUGACAUGACUAUUGAGCCUGAUUUCUUUCCUUUUAUCUCUAUAAAGUGAGUCAGGUCUUAACUUUAAACUAUCUCUAAAGUAGCAAUAACUGGGCCAUGUCAAAUACUCCCAAUGACAAAAUUUCUUCUUGGAGAAUGGAUGAGGGUUGCAUACAGCGGUGUGUUGCUAAGUGUUUAGCGACUGGCUCUCUUACUGAUUUCUGUAGUGUAAAUUCUCCCAUCCUGGCCAUCUGGAACUACCAGUGUGAUGUCACUUAAUGUAGAGUUGGGAAAAGACAGUCUCUUGAAUCAGUAUGAGCUGGUCCCCGCCCACUGCUGAACACAUAUUUAAAAGCUACAAUAGCUCUGCUCACUGCCAUUGCAGAGUCUGGAGGAAAGAGUGGUGGGCUUGAUAGGACCAAUUGGCUGGAUAAUCUUUUGCAAUGCCAAUAAAUAAUGAAAAAGCAUGUAAAUAUAAUGCUGUAUAGAAAGCUCUCAAGUUCAGUGUUUGGUUAAAAUACAUACUCAGUAAAUGGUAGCUAUUAUCGUCUUAGUUUAAGUUAUUGCAAGCACUAAAAUUAAAUGUUCAGCUACAGACUCAAUCCAAUUUUAAUGUCACUGUGUUAAUAACGCCUCUUAACAUUGAAGCAACAAAGAUAAAGGAAUUUUUUUUGUAGCUAUUCACGGUUCUGCCCAGCUCAAGGUAAAGAUAGCAACACAAUACUCCAACCAGAAUAAAAGAAGUCUCCACUUGACAGCAGCUCUUCACAACACUUCACAAGGGUCAAGCUGUGUUAGUUUCCUUCAGUAUUAAACAGAAUGCGUCUUAAGAGAAUAGUUCAAUUAUUGAUUGAAUAGUAGGUUCAAGUUGACUAUAAUCCCAACUAAUACACUCUAAGACCAGAGAUGGGCCAACAGAAGGGUAAAGUUUUCCACUCAAGUCUCGAGGCAAACACUCAGACAGAAGUAGUAAUAUGGAUGCCUUUUAUUAUUUGGUCACAUACAAUACUGUUCCAGCCCAGUUGUGCAAAACUGGUGAAAUAAAAGGCAACAAUAUUGACAACAGUUUGGGUAACUGGAUUCCAAAAUGGGCAUCCAUCUAAGAGAAAUUAAUGAAAAAAAGGUUUAUGGACCUUGAAAGACACUAAUACACAGUUUAGGUUUAAACACUCAGUGUUUGUUAGAAAAGACUAACAUAUGCUGUUUUGAACACUACAAAAGUGCUUUCUGAACCAUUUACUCUCAAACCUCCUCCACCCAUUCCCCUCCAUCUAUAAUGCUUUCUCCACAUCUGUAAAAGGUAUGACUUAGUGUUUGGUCUGUGAAAUAAAGUUAAAAAGGAAGCAUUUCUUUUUACGUUCUAGCUAAUGUUGAUAUUUUUUUCAUGCUUCUAUUAGCACAUAAUCCAGAUACAUUAGUUUUGAAGUUUUGAAUCUGCUCUGCUUCUUGAGGGUUCAAUGUUCUAGAUCAACAUUAUCUGUGGAACACCAGCCAAGUCCUGGGCAGAAUCCUCCCCGUUGUCCAAAUAUUACUGAAUCAGUUGAGUUUUCUCUGUUUUCAAUGAAUUAUUCCAUAUGUUUCUUUGCUACAUUUUCUUUUGGCUUUUUGUUCACAGUAAAUCAUAGCUUUUGUUUUUAAAAACUUCUAUUAUGAAAAUUCCAAAUAUAUGCAAAUUAGAGAGAAUAGCAUAAUGAGCCUCUAUGUGCUUAUCACACAUAUAGGUUCAGCUAAUUAAAUUAUAUCAAUUUAUGGCCAAUCUGGUUUCAUUUAUAACAUCAUUCGCUCAUUCCUAACUCCCUGGAUUAUUUGAUUGACAUGUUUCUAAAGUUCCUUUUAAUCUAUAGGUUCCCCCUCUCAUUUAAUCUUUUGCAACUUAUUUAUUGAUGAAACUGGGUUGUUUAUCCUUUAUUGUUUCUCUCAUUCUAAAAUAUGCUGUAAUGUCAUUAAUCAUGUUCUUCUUUCCUGUAUUUUCUGUACGCUUUGAGCUAGGCAGAAAUAUUUUAAUCAGAUUCCUUUUUUUUAAUUUUAGCAAGAUUUCUUCAUAAAUAAUAUUGUAUGUGUUCAUGAAAAUAGAAAUAAAAAUUGAAAUAAAAAAGAAAUAACAGAAAAGGGACAGAAAUUUUUAAUUUUUUUUAUGAAAACAGAUGAUAAAUAACAUUGUAAUAAAUCCCAACAGAACAUAGAGAACCUGACUUUAUUGAAGUUAGUGGGAUGAUGUUUAUGAUUUUAAAACUAUAUAUUAUGGUUAUGUCAUGUAAAAAUCAAAUAUUCAAGCACAUAUAUUAAAGUUAGUCAUCAUUACAUUUUUCCAAAGUAAAAAAUAAAAGUAAACCAACCUUAACCGUCAGUGAUUCCAUCAACUGAGCAAGUUUGAGUAGCAUUACCCUAGUGAAUAUCAGACUAUCGAUUAUUCUACUCAUGUACCUGAAAUUGGAUAACAGUAGGAAGAAUUUCCUGAACAAAUACAAGAUACGUAUUUAGACCUUCUCCAAUCUAGAGGAAUACUUGGUUAUUGUCAGAAUGAAGAAUGAGGAGUAUUGUUUUAGAACCGGACUUCUUUGAUGACCCUUAAGUAAACCAAUAUGGACCAGAUAACAGGAGCAAUUCAAAGCAUCAGAAUUUGGGGGGAUUCUUAUGGUGGAGCACAAUGAGGCAUUCCAGCCUACUCUAAGAAAAUAGUUCAUCCCUGUCAAUAUCCUGGGAAGCAGAGUUCAGAGAAAACUAUGAAGACACAAUGUGAAAUGUCAGUUGUCUUUGUAAAACAUAAGUAUAUGUGUAUUCUUGGGAAUGGAGGGAAAGUAUGUAAUUAUUUGUGGCUUUUCAAAAAUGUAUGGCUUUUGAAGAGCCACCUCUAUAGUGCCUUUUUGAUUCCUCUUAUGAGAAAACAGACCUGGAAAAAUUAGUAGUCUUUAAUUUAUAGUUAGUUAGCACAUUAUGACAGAACUUUAAUGUCAUAUCUCACUAGAUAGAAAUGAAAUAAUACAUUUUCCUAUUAUAUAUUGAUUGGAGUUAAUUAAAUAUAGUUAGUAUUCCAUUUACAUUGAUGCUUUUUGUUCAAAUCUAUGGUAUUAUGUAUAAAUAUGCCAAUUAUUCAGUAAAACAUCACUAAAAUUAUACCUAUAUUGUUUUGAAGCUGUUAGAAAAUAUCUUCUUUGAAUUCUGAGAGCUGUAUUAUAUUAGUUUAACUAGUUAUCUUCAAAUUCUGAAGUUCCUUGAAUCUAUUUUAAUUUUGUAUCAGGAAUUGGAGAGGUUUUUCCAGAAAAAUGUUACUUAAAUGCACCAAAUGCAAUGUGGGAAUUUUGACCCACUUCUUGUACUUCUAUUUUCCUGCUGCUUUUGCCCCCAAAGGAAGAAUAUAAACAUUUUGCUUACCGUAACACAUUGCUUCAUUAUGAUAUACUAUUGUUACCAUUUUUUUAAAAAAGGAAUGUUUCUAGGUUUUAAUUAAGCUCCUUCAUCUAAUAUGUAGUUUUAAAGUUAUUAUUUCAUAUAAUAUCUAACAUGCCACAGUUAGGAACCUGGAGCAGACUGAACCUUUGGACAAAAUGAUGUCAUUAUUAUGAAAAUAGAAAAGCAUAGACCAGGCAUGGUGGCUCACACCUAUAAUCCUAGCACUUUGGGAGGCUGAGGUGGUUGGAUCACUUGAGGUCAGGAGGUCAAGACCAGCCUGGCCAACACAGCAAAACCCCAUCUCUACUAAAACUACAAAAAUUAGCCUGAAAUGGUGGUGGACACCUGUAGUCCCAGCUACUCUGGAGGCUGAGGCAGGAGAAUCGCUUGAACCCGGAGGCAGAGGUUGCAGUGAGCUGAGAUUGCACCACUGCACUCCAACCUGGGUGACAACGCAAGACUCUGUCUCAAAUAAAUAAAUAAAAAGAAAGAAAAUCAUAGCUGUGGGCUACUCCAAGCUUAUAAUUUUGCAGAGCAAUAGCAGUAAGAUACUCUGUACAAAGUUAAGUAAAGGAUUAUUGCACAUCUCAUAUGAUGGGAUUCUUUUUAAAAAAGUUUUAUUUUAUUGUAGUAAGAAUACUUAGCAUAAGACCUACACUCAACAGGUUUUCUAAGUCUACUGUUCAUUAUCAUUGAUGAUAGGCACAACGUUGUACAGCAGAUUCCUAGAGUUUAUUCACCUUGCUUAACUAAAACUUUAUGCCCAUUGAAUAGUAUCUCCCCAUUUCCCUUUUCCCCCACUUCUGAAAACAUGAUUACCGUUUGGUCCUACAAAUUUGACUAUUUUAGAUACAUCAUGUAAGUGGAAGCAGAAAGCGUUUGUCUUUCUUUGACUAGCUUAUUUCACUCAGCAUAAUGUCGUCCAGCUCAUCGAUGUCAUCCCACAUUGCAGAAUUGCCUUUUUUAAUGGCUAAAUAGUAUUUCAUUGUGUAUACCACUUUUUUUAAUCCAUUUCACCUAUUGAUGGGCAUUAAGGGUGUUUCCACAUCUUGGCUGUUGUGCAUACUCCUGCAUUGUGCUAUUCAUGGGAGUGCUAAUAUCUCUUUGGGAUCUUGAUUUCAAUUCUUUUGGUUAUACAGCCAAAAGUGAUAUUGCUGGAUCAUAUGGUAACUUUUUUUUCCAAUAGUUUUAAGGGUACAGUGGUUUUUGGCUACAUGGAUGAAUUAUAUGGGGGUGCAGUCUAGGCUUUUAGUGUAUCUGUCACCUGAAUAGUGUACAUCGUACCCAAUAUGUAAUUUUUAACCCUCACUCCUCUAAUUUUAUUUAUAUAUAUAAAUACAAUUUUUUUGAAAUGGAGUUUUUCUCUUGUCGCCCAGGCUGGAGUGCAAUGAUGCAAUCUCAGCUCACUGCAACCUCUGCCUCCCAGGUUCAAGCGAUUCUCCUGCCUCAGCCUCCCGAGUAACUGGGAUUACAGGCACCUGCCACCACACUUGGCCAAUUUUUUUUGGUAUUUUUAGUAGAUAUCAGGUUUCACCAUUUUGGCUGGUCUCGACUCUUGGCUGACCUCAACUUCUGACCUCAGUGAUCCACCUACCUCGGCAUCUCAAAGUGUUUGGGUUACAAGCAUAAGCCACCGCACCCGGCCUAUUUAUAAGUUUUUAAGGAAACUUCAUACUGUUUCCCAUAGCUGCACCAUUUUGCAUUUCCACCUACAGUGUUCAAGAGUUCCAGUUUCUCCACAUCCUUACCAAUACUUGUCUUUUUUUUUUUUUUUUAGUAGCCAUCCUGGCAGAUGUGAGGUGAUAUUUCAUCACAGUUUUGAUUUUCAUUUCCCUGAUAACUAAUGACAUUAAACUUUUUUUUAUAUAUCUGCUGGCCACCUGUAUGUCUUCUUUGGAGAAACAUCUAUUCAAGUUUCCAGUUCAUUUUUAAAUUGGAUUAUUUGCUUUUUGCUAUUGAGUUGUUUGAGUUCCUUAUCUAUUUUGAAGCUUAACCCUAUAUCAAAUGGGAUUCUUAUAUUUUUGUUUCAUAUUUUGUAAUAUAUCAGGCCCAUGAAAUUAGCUAUCUUAAGUAAGUUGCUUUUGUGUUGUUUCUUAUGACAAUUCUGAUUAGAAUAUUAAUAGAAAUGUGAAAUGCAGCUUAUACCAACGAAUGGGCUAGUUUUUAUUGAAUCAAUAAAACCCAUAUUUUGGGAGUUUUACUCAAGAACCUAAAAUUCAGUUGAAUAUAAAGAAAUGUCAAUUACUUAGGGAGGCUUGGAAGGUAUAUUUCAGAAACCAAUGUGACAGCACUUACUGAUAAUCACAGCGUAAAAAAAAGUUUCUGUUUUGAAUGUUCAUGUAAAUUUGCAUUGAAUUUAAUUGUUGUCAAAUGUGUAGUUUAUGUUCUUGUGUGAUAAUUUUUAAUUUUGUUUAUAUUCAUUUACGAUUCAUUUGAAAGGGUUUUGUGUAAAUUGAUUGAUUUGUAACAAAAUGCCAAUUCUCAUGGUACAUUAUUAAAAUUCUGUGUUAGUGAUAGAGCUGCUUUUUAUAAAAAGGAUACUUUCCAUUAACAUUUGAAAGUAAGCAUUCCUCACUUUAUCCUGAUAAUGAUAAGACAAAAACUUAUAUGGGAGGAUGUGAGUCAGCACUACACAACUUCUAAUGUUUUGUCUUAGAGUACUUCAAUUUUCUAUCUUGUAAACUUACUUAUAUUUGUGCAGCUAAUUGGAUUACAUUAAGUGAUCUAAAACAAAAUAACAGAUCUUUUUAAGAACCAAAUCAAACACUUUGGCCUAUUAUAUAUGGAAGCUAGGAUUUAUUCGUUGUCAGUUUAAAGAAAUAGUAAUGGUGACCAAAAAAUAGCAGAAUCUUUUUUUUGGGGACGGGGGGUGGAGUCUAAUUUUUUGUAUUUUUAGUAGAGACGGGGUUUCACCAUGUUGUAGCCAGAAUGGUCUCGAUCUCCUGACCUCAUGAUCUGCCCACCUUGGCCUCCCAAAGUGCUGGGAUUAUAGGCGUGAGCCACUGCACCUGGACAAAAUGGCAGAAUUUUUCUUUUUUUUUAAAGACAGAGUCUCGCUCUUUCGCCCACGCUGGAGUGCAGUGGCGUGAGCUGGAGUGCAGUGGUGUGAUCUCGGCUCACUGCAGCCUCUGCCUCUCGGUUCAAGCAGUUUUCCUGCUUCAGCCUCCCAAGUAGCUGGGACUACAGGCAUGCACCACCAUGCUCAGCUAAUUUUUUAUUUUUGUAUUUUUGUUGUUGUUGUUGAGACAGAGUCUCCCUCUAUCGCCCAGGCUGGAGUGCAGUGGCGCGAUCUCAGCUCACUGCAAGCUCUGCCUCCCGGGUUCACGCCAUUCUCCUGCCUCAGCCUCCCGAGUAGCUGGGACUACAGGCGCCCCGCCACCACGCCUGGCUAAUUUUUUGUAUUUUUAGUAGAGACGGGGUUUCGCUGUGUUAGCCAGGAUGGUCUAGAUCUCCUGACCUCAUGAUCCGCCCGCCUCGGCCUCCCAAAGUGCUGAGAUUACAGGCGUGAGCCACCGUGCCCGGCCAAAAUAGCAGAAUCUGAAGAGUUAGAAGACACCUUUAAAAUCACCCACCCUCUCUUAGGCUGAAAUUCCUUAGCAAUACAUCUCUCGGGCUUAUAGCAUUUUAAUUAAGGAAUUAACAUUUUCUAAGGUAAGGAAGUUACUACUUUCCUAGGCAACUAAUGAAAUUUUUGCAUAACUCUAAUUUUCAAGAAGUUCUUUCUGAUUUGAACCAAAUUUUAUCUCUAGACUAAUACCAAAUAUGUCUAUAUGACAGCACUUUGAAUAUUGGAGGUCAGUUUUCAUGCCCUUCUCCCCAGACAAACCUUUAAUUUGUUACAAUAAAUUUUUAAGGAUCUCCGGAAUUAUGGCAUUAUUGUUAUGCAUCUACAUGGACUUAUGAUAAAGUUUUCCAGACCACAAAGUCUGCCCAGAAUUUUGGAGUUUAACUUAAUGAAAUUAGAAUCCAGCUACAAAGUUAAAGAGAAGACCACCUUUACUUCUGACACCCACCACAAGUUCCAUAUUGCCCCAAACCACCUUCAGAUUCCAUAAUUUACUAGAAAUACAGAACUCCCUGAAACUUACUAUACUCACAGUUUUAUUUAUUACAGGGGAAUGAUUCAUAAAAUCAGUCAAAGAAAGAGACACAUAGUACAGAGUCUGGAAGGGUUCCAAAUGGGAGAUUUGUGCUGUCUUUAGGAUGUAUUCCUUCUACUACUGAUGUGUGAUGGUAUAUUUUUGGCCCAUUUUGUGUUGGUAUAACAAUACCACACACUAGAUAGUUUAUAAUGAACAGAAAUUGAUUUAUCACAGUUCUGGAGGCUGGGGAGUCCAAGACCAAGCAAUCAGCAUCUGGGCCUUCUCAGUGUGUCAUCCCGUGGCAGAAGGUGGAAGGGCAAGAGAGGGAGAGAGAGUAAAAGAGGGACAAGAGGGUCAAUCUACGCCUUUUAUAACAAACUCACUCCCGUGAUAACAGCAUUAAUCCAUUCGCUUUGCCCUCAUGGACUAAUCGCCUCUCAUUAGGCCCUACCACUCAACACUCUGGAAUUGGAUAUUUAACUAACUUUUAAAUGCAUGCUUUUUGGGGGACAUGUCCAAAACACUGCAAUACACAUGAAGAACUACCAAACAGGGAAGCUCAACUGAGCUUCUGUACUCAAAGAUUUUGCUGGAGUUUCAAUACAUAGGCAUGACUGAUUGAUUAACAAUAUAGCAAGUUGUCCAAAGAGCCCAUCAUGAAUAACAAAGACAUUCCUAUCAAUCACCUGGUGAAUUUCAAGGGUUUAGAGGUUACCCCCAAAGAACCAGAUACAAAGACUGGGCCUCUCUUUGAGUGAGGCCAAAUUUCUUUCUAUGCUGUAUCCUUUGCUGUUUUCUUGGCCCCAAACACUCCAAUUUCUUCAACUUACAUGAGAUAUAGUUUCUGAAGUUCAACAUGUCUUGGAUGUGUUUCUCUAGAUAAUCUCUAACACGUCAAUUUCCUCUUUUGAAAUAUAUACUUCCUAUUGCUUGUCUUCAGAAGCUAUCUAUCUCUAUAUUAAAGUAUUAGAACCCCACUAGGAAGUGUAAAACAAUACUUUGGGGUCAGCCAACUUGGAGAAUCCUGACAUUUAACAGCUGUUAAAACUUGGAAACAUUAGAUGUUCUUUCUGAACUUCCAGUUCGUCAUAGAUAACAGUGUUACGAAUAAUACCCACUUCAUAUUUUAUGGAGGCUAAAUGAGAUCAUGUGUAAAAUUUUUAAUGUAUCAUAGGAGCUUGAUAUUAGUUAUUUUCUGGGACAAAUACUGGACAGUCUGAAUUUGUGUGUGAAAAGUAUCUUAAGCACUGCUUGCUUAUCAAGUCUUCUAAACUAGAUGUAUGCAUACAUUAUUAAAAACAUAAUUCAAUUCAGCUCAUUAAAUAUUUAUCUAAGUUCAACUGAGAAGUGCACAGCAUUAUGCUAGUGACUGAGAGAGAAGAAGACAGUUUCUGCCUUCCUGGAGUGAUAACAUUUUCAUAAAUAUCUCUGAUGUAAGUAGACUGGAGUAGGUGUUAAAUUCAGAUACAUAACUAGUACAACAAUGGAAGUCCAAGAGAGAAAAAAACAUCUGAUUGGGGUUAUUGGAAGAAUGCAUCUCCAAGAAGGUAAUAUGUCCCUGGAGGCCCAGUAGUGAGUAACUUUCUUUGAGAAUUUCUGAGUGAAUUUACUUGGUAAAAAAGUAGAUUUAGCAACAAGAUAUAAAUAAAUUAAUCAUGAAUACAGAAAUAAACUUUAAGCAUAAUUAUAACAGAAAUAAGAGCUCUCUAAAAUAAUUAGCAAUGUUAAAAAAACAAACAUAACUUUUAGCCAUGAGUUUAAUCUUUGCAUGAAAAAUAUUGUAUUGAUUUUUAUUGGAAUGCAAAGAGAUUGCUUCUAUGCUUCAUGCUUUAAACACCCAGGAAACUUUACCCAAGUUCUGAAAUUGAUUAUGUCAGUUUUUGAUUUCAAGGAAAGUAUGUGUAGAUUUGAUUUGAGGUAGUUUGUUUGAAAACUAUGAAGGAAUUAAACAUAAAUCAUUUAUUCCUCAAACAAUUUAUUCAACAAAUAUUCAUUGCAUGUAUAUUGUGUGCCAGGAACUCUUCCAGGCUCUGGGAGAUACGUCUCCAAGAAAGCAGACAAUACCCCUGCCCUCUGUGGAAGACUGACAAAUAUACAAGUGCAUAUGUAUGUAUAGACUGUCAGAUGAUGUAAGUAUGAAGAAGAAAAUGAAAGCCAUAUAAUGGGUGAUGGAGCGGGGCAUAGAAAGGUGCCAUUUGCUAUUUUAUAGAAGUAGAUCAGGGAACACCUCAUGAUAGACAUCUGAGCAGAGACCAUUCCAGGUGUGGGAGCGUGUCAGAGAGGUAUCCAGGGGCGACAGUUCCAGGCAGAGAAAGCAUGAAGAGCAAGGUGCCCAAGGCCAGACCAUGUGUGCUUGGCAUUUUCCAGGAGCAGCAAGGAAUCUAGUGUGGCUGAAGGAGAAUGAGGAAGGGAGAAAGCAGCAGGAGGGUGCACAUGAAGCCCUGUGUGCCAUUACGAAGACUCUGCUUUUUUUCUUUCUUUUUUUUUUUUGAGACGGAGUCUCGC